rnacentral:rRNA from 1 species
CAUGCGGGAGGAGACCAACAGGGAUUGCCCCAGUAACGGCGAGUGAAGCGGCAACAGCUCAAAUUUGAAAUCUGGCCCCCGGGUCCGAGUUGUAAUUUGCAGAGGAUGCUUUGGGCGAGGUUCCUUCCGAGUUCCCUGGAACGGGACGCCACAGAGGGUGAGAGCCCCGUCUGGUCGGACACCGAGCCCGUGUAAAGCUCCUUCGACGAGUCGAGUAGUUUGGGAAUGCUGCUCAAAAUGGGAGGUAUAUGUCUUCUAAAGCUAAAUAUUGGCCAGAGACCGAUAGCGCACAAGUAGAGUGAUCGAAAGAUGAAAAGCACUUUGAAAAGAGGGUUAAAAAGUACGUGAAAUUGUUGAAAGGGAAGCGCCUAUGACCAGACUUGCGCCCGGUGAAUCAUCCAGCGUUCUCGCUGGUGCACUUCGCCGGGCACAGGCCAGCAUCAGUUUGGCGCGGGGGACAAAGGCUUCGGGAAUGUGGCUCCCUCGGGAGUGUUAUAGCCCGCUGCGUAAUACCCUGCGCCGGACUGAGGUACGCGCAUCGCAAGGAUGCUGGCGUAAUGGUCAUCAGCGACCCGUCUUGAAACACGGACCAAGGAGUCGUCUUCGUAUGCGAGUGUUCGGGUGUUAAACCCCUACGCGGAAUGAAAGUGAACGUAGGUGAGAGCUUCGGCGCAUCAUCGACCGAUCCUGAUGUUCUCGGAUGGAUUUGAGUAAGAGCAUACGGGGCCGGACCCGAAAGAAGGUGAACUAUGCCUGUAUAGGGUGAAGCCAGAGGAAACUCUGGUGGAGGCUCGCAGCGGUUCUGACGUGCGAAUCGAUCGUCAAAUAUGGGCAUGGGGCGAAAGACUAAUCGACUGCUUAGUGCUGU